CCAAUAGCGUAUAUUAAAGUUGUUGCAGUUAAAAAGCUCGUAGUUGAAUUUCGGGACCAAUUUGUUGGUCGUGCCUCGGUACGUACUGGUAUUAUUGGUUUCUACCUUCUGAAGAACCUUGAUGUCAUUAAUUUGGUGUCUUGGGGAAUCAGGACUGUUACUUUGAAAAAAUUAGAGUGUUUAAAGCAAGCAUACGCUUGAAUACAUUAGCAUGGAAUAAUGAAAUAGGACGUUUGAUUCUAUUUUGUUGGUUUCUAGGAUCGACGUAAUGAUUAAUAGGGAUAGUUGGGGGCAUUAGUAUUCAAUUGUCAGAGGUGAAAUUCUUGGAUUUAUUGAAGACUAACUACUGCGAAAGCAUUUGCCAAGGAUGUUUUCAUUAAUCAAGAACGAAAGUUAGGGGAUCGAAGACGAUCAGAUACCGUCGUAGUCUUAACCAUAAACUAUGCCGACUAGGGAUCGGAUGAUGUUAAUUUUUUAAGGACUCAUUCGGCGCCUUAC
rnacentral:rRNA from 1 species